rnacentral:rRNA from 1 species
UACGUAGGGUGCGAGCGUUGUCCGGAAUUACUGGGCGUAAAGAGCUCGUAGGUGGUUUGUCGCGUUGUUCGUGAAAACUCACAGCUUAACUGUGGGCCUGCAGUCGAUACGGGCAGGCUAGAGUUCGGCAGGGGGAGACUGGAAUUCCUGGUGUAGCGGUGAAAAUGCGUAGAUAUCAGGAGGAACACCGGUGGUGUAGACGGCUUUCUGGACCGUAACUGACGCUGAGACACGAAAGCGUGGGUAGCAAACAGG